rnacentral:misc_RNA from 1 species
UACGGAGGAUCCAAGCGUUGUCCGGAUUUAUUGGGUUUAAAGGGUGCGUAGGCGGACUAUUAAGUCAGAGGUGAAAGCCGGUAGCUUAACUAUCGAAUUGCCUUUGAAACUGGUAGUCUUGAAUACUGUUGAGGUGGGCGGAAUGUAUCAUGUAGCGGUGAAAUGCUUAGAUAUGAUACAGAACACCGAUUGCGAAGGCAGCUCACUAAGCAGUUAUUGACGCUGAGGCACGAAAGCGUGGGGAUCAAACAGG